GUGCCUAUGGUGAAAAAGGAUAUCAUAGCGGUCUUCUAAACCGCUGGUCCAGGUUCGAUUCCUGGUAGGCACGC
rnacentral:tRNA from 1 species